ensembl:lncRNA
UGUCAAUUUACGCAGGAACAACCCGAGUUGCCCCAAGAGGACUUGGCAGCAAAUGAAGAUGGAAGUACAAAAAUAUAGUUCAAACAGUUACUGAUGGCGUCAUAGCCCUACUUGAACCAGAUGCCCUCACCAACCUCCAUGCAAUUGAAGAUGAGAAACAUUGUCUGCGGCAUUCGAAAAGGGAAGAGGAAAGGCCUAUUGAGGAUGAAAUCGAAUCCAAUGAGAGGCCAUCCACUUCCAAAUCACAGCUUACCUCUGCAAGAUUCUCCCUGGAAUUAUAAUGAAACGCUCUACUUGGCAGUGUGAAAUCCAAUGUCAUUUUUUGCAUUCCUAUAGCUUCCAGUCAAAGAACUAUAUAAAAUCUAUCUCCAAAAGCAAAUGCACAAAGCAGACUUUGUAAUGGACCACCUUAGGCAAAAGAUGCAAAAAGAUGCUUUGGAGAUCCAAAUUUUGGAAAAUAAGUUAAAGGUGGGUGAGGUGCAAUCUGGGAUACUGUUCCCUGCUCUAAAAACAUACCCAAUAUGAAUGACUUUUUUUUUGUGCUUUCAGG